GGAUGUGAGGGUGAUCUGGCUGUGACAUCUGUCACCCUACUGAUUGCCAGGAUUCAGUUGAUCUGGCUGGCUAGGUGGGUGUCCCCUUCUCCCUCACAGCUCCAUGAGCAUCCCUUCCAAAGCUGUGUGCUUGGUUGAGGAGGACCCUCACCCAUACAGAAGGACCAUUCUGUUGUCAAGGGCAUAAUGAGUAGCUAUUCUUCCCUGCUAGGCCCUCCAAACAAGCUCCUGAAUUGAGGCAACGAACCUCAAAGAUGGCCCU
rnacentral:snRNA from 1 species